UACGUAGGGUGCAAGCGUUGUCCGGAAUUAUUGGGCGUAAAGAGCUCGUAGGCGGUUUGUCGCGUCUGCCGUGAAAGCCCGGGGCUUAACCCCGGGUCUGCAUUCGAUACGGGCUAGCUAGAGUGUGGUAGGGGAGAUCGGAAUUCCUGGUGUAGCGGUGAAAUGCGCAGAUAUCAGGAGGAACACCGGUGGCGAAGGCGGAUCUCUGGGCCAUUACUGACGCUGAGGAGCGAAAGCGUGGGGAGCGAACAGG
rnacentral:rRNA from 1 species